rnacentral:rRNA from 1 species
ACGCUGGCGGCGUGCUUAACACAUGCAAGUCGAACGGUGACCCAGGGCUUGCCCUGGUGAUCAGUGGCGAACGGGUGAGUAACACGUGGGCAACCUGCCCCUGACUUCGGGAUAACUCCUCGAAAGAGGAGCUAAUACCGGAUACGACCACUUCGGACAUCCGAUGGUGGUGGAAAGUUUUUCGGUCAGGGAUGGGCCCGCGGCCUAUCAGCUAGUUGGUGGGGUAAUGGCCCACCAAGGCGACGACGGGUAGCCGGCCUGAGAGGGCGACCGGCCACACUGGGACUGAGACACGGCCCAGACUCCUACGGGAGGCAGCAGUGGGGAAUAUUGCGCAAUGGGCGAAAGCCUGACGCAGCGACGCCGCGUGAGGGAUGAAGGCCUUCGGGUUGUAAACCUCCUUCAGCAGGGACGAAGCGAAAGUGACGGUACCUGCAGAAGAAGCACCGGCUAACUACGUG